rnacentral:rRNA from 1 species
UGCAGUCGANGGCAGCACGAGGAGCUUGCUCCUUGGUGGCGAGUGGCGGACGGGUGAGUAAUGCAUAGGAAUCUGCCUUUUAGUGGGGGAUAACCCGGGGAAACUCGGGCUAAUACCGCAUAAUCUCUACGGAGUAAAGCGGGGGAUCUUCGGACCUCGCGCUAAAAGAUGAGCCUAUGUCGGAUUAGCUUGUUGGUGGGGUAAAGGCCUACCAAGGCAACGAUCCGUAGCUGGUCUGAGAGGAUGAUCAGCCACACUGGGACUGAGACACGGCCCAGACUCCUACGGGAGGCAGCAGUGGGGAAUAUUGGACAAUGGGCGAAAGCCUGAUCCAGCAAUACCGCGUGUGUGAAGAAGGCCUUCGGGUUGUAAAGCACUUUCAGCGGGGAAGAAAGGCUCAAGGUUAAUAGCCUUGGGAGUUGACGUUACCCGCAGAAGAAGCACUGGCUAACUCUGUGCCAGCAGCCGCGGUAAUACAGAGAGUGCAAGCGUUAAUCGGAAUUACUGGGCGUAAAGCGCGCGUAGGUGGACUAUUAAGUCGGAUGUGAAAGCCCUGGGCUUAACCUGGGAACUGCAUCCGAUACUGGUUGUCUAGAGUAUGGU